rnacentral:lncRNA from 1 species
UCUCUAACGCCCAGUUUCCUCAUUUUCUACAGCCAAAUGCAGAAUCUUAAUGGCUUUCCCUUUCGGUUCGACAAGCCCAGAGCUCUAGCCUGGGUGCGGGCUGUGUGUGAAGAAAUAGGAGUCUUGGUUUCAUUUCGUAACCUGGGCCCCUCCAGUGCCUACCAGCUGGGGCUGGGAACAGGACCAACAUUCAUUGACAAAUGAAGAGAUGAAAACAUUUUCGAAGCUGACAGGCCAUCAAUUGGGUGCCACCCGGGAAGAGAAGCCAUGGUCUGCAGCUCUGCUUCCUGGCCCCACCACCAGGAGAAGAUGGGACUGCCAGCCACACCCAAUGGGCCGCCCUAGGUUUGGGAGGUCUCUUUUUAUCCUGAGAGAAGGCUUGGGAGCAGUUACGAAAGCGACGAGCCUACCGGCUUGGACACGGAGCAGCGAUUGCUUGGCUUGUUGGGCACAAAUGGGUAAUUUCUCAUGUUCCUGCCUCUGUGACUGGGGCCAAGCAGGCAUGUCCCCUUUGUUCAGUUCACUGCUCCCACCUCUGGAAUCGUCCCUGCUGUCCAGGUGUCACAUGGCUUUACUCUGUCGGCGGUCCUCAUGAGAUCGAUGACUCCUGGCGAUCCACGUGUGAAUGACUUGUAGGAAGGGCGCCGGAGUGAGCUGAGGUUGAUGGAGAGCCACCUGCAGAGGCUCCAGCAGCUAUGUGAGUGUAUGGCUGGACAGUGUCACUUGUGAGAUGCUCACAGUCCUGUGGUGUCAACUAGAUCAAAGUCUCUCAUAAGAUAGAAGAUAGAAUCUGCCCUUGGUCACAACGCUUGAUUCAGAACCCUGGCUUUUUAUAGGGCUACUCUUUCCUCCGGUGAUGAAGGUUAACAUCCUGGAACAUCCAUGGCACAGAUGCGAGCUAAGUCCUCUACCCUAGAAGAUCUACAGUGCAGCCCUGGGCAGGAUUCCUCCAAGGCUCGCACAGUUUAAAUGUUUCAGACUGGGAUCAUUGCAAAAGGAAUUUUUCGCCUACAGAAGAGAGGGGCAAGGAAGAAAAGCUAGGCCCAAGGUCUAGAAACAGGGCAGUAGCCCUGAGUUUGGAAAGCCUCCCCCACCUGAUCCCACUCUCUCUUAGCUCAACCAGUUGUCCGUGUGAAGAUUAGGUUGCUGGUUUUGGCUUCUUUUUUUUUUUUUUUUUCGUUUUUUCUUUUUUUGUCAACUUGAUAGAAGCUAAGAAGAAAGGCGAUGGCCCCUGAGACCAUGACUCCGUCAGAUUGGCACGUUCACAGGGGAGGGGUCAGUUUCUUGAUUUAUGAUCUAUACGGGAGGCGCCUGAACCACUGUGAGUGGUGCCACCCUGGGCAGAUGGCCCGGACUAUCUAAGAAAGCAGGCUCAUCAAGCCGCAACAAACUAGCCAGUGAGCCCGGUAAACAGAAUUCUUCUGCAGCUCUUGCUCCAGUUCCCGCCUCGAGUUCCUGCCUUGGCUUCCCUGACUGAUGGACUCUCAGCCAAAUAAACACUCUGCUAUGGUAAUAGCUCUUGGUCA